CAGUUUUUUGAGCGUUUUUCACUGUGUGAGGCUGUUUUUUGGUUGUUGAGUUAGUUAUUUUCCAGAUUUUGUUCACAUAACUCAUUUUUCACUAAUUUCACUUCAAAUUUGCUAAUUGAGAUUAGUAGAGUGGAUUAGCAUUGGUACAAAUCACUAAUUGUAACAGAAUUUGAGAAGACAUUUUUCAUUCUCCAAGAAUCAUAACAGAAUUUCCCUCCCAAAACCUCUCAAAUUCUCCAAACUUCAUCAUACAUUUUUCAUCAAUUCUCAUCCAAUUCUUCAUCAUUUUUGAUCAUUCUUCUUGGAUCUACACUCUACAAGUGAUUGUGCAUAACUGUUUCAACAAACUCGUGGCCAAAGCUUGCUGAAUUUGGACUGUUGCAUUCAAGGUCAUCAAUGGCGAUUUCAUGAUUCUUCAAGCUGGAGCUGUUUUGAGCUGCAAAACCUCUUUCAAUCAUCUUCCUAAGCUUCAAUCAACUUCUGUUUUCAUCUUGUGGAUCUUGAAACACGCGAUUGCAACUUCUACACAUUCAUAAGGUACUUUAGUUGCUCAGUUCCUUGUGAACUUUUGCUUUGCGUUGCUUAAGCAACUUGCAUUGAGUGUGUAGGAAAUGUGCAAGAAUCCAUAGAAAAAGACACAAUUCAAAGAACAAGGAACAAAGCCAGGUGUUGGAAAUUUUGGUAUGGCGGCCUGACGCAAACUGGCGAGCAGGAAGUGAGCUCGUCGGGAAAGACCUAGCGAAGGAAAGGUGAGCUCUCCGGGUGAGAUUUGGAGAGCUCGGGGCAAGCUAAAGGAAAUGGAUAUCAGGGUCAAAACUCGUGUUGGUCGCUCGACGAGGCUUGGUGAACUUAAGUUCGUCGGUGAAAUGGGUUUGCCGAGCGAGAUUAGAUAUAUUUAUCAGUUUGAUGCACUAUGAGUACCAGCUGGGUCAAAAAGCAACUUUCAUAAGGCGAGGAUAAAUAGAUCCAAAUCAUAUUUUUGGGGUUCUCUCUUGAAUCUCUUGGACUCUCAACUGAUAGAUAGCUAGGGCUGAAGAGAAAACCAGUUUUGGAGAAAGUGGGGCUUAGAAAACAAUAAGUAGGUGUGUUUCAUGAAGAUUCAGAGUUGGAUUCACUUAUAUUGUUGGGAAAUUGU